rnacentral:rRNA from 1 species
GACGAACGCUGGCGGCGUGCCUAACACAUGCAAGUCGAACGGAAAGGCCGCCUUGUGGGGUCUUCGAGUGGCGAACGGGUGGGUAACAUGUGAGUAAUCUACCCUUGACUUUGGGAUAACUUCAGGAAACUGGGGCUAAUACCGGAUAGGAGCUCCUGCCGCAUGGUGGGGGUCGGAAGGUUUCGGCGGUUGGGGAUGGACUCGCGGCUUAUCGGCUUGUUGGUGGGGUAGUGGCUCACCAAGGCUUUGACGGGUAGUCGGCCUGGGAGGGUGACCGGCCACGUUGGGUCUGAAAUACGACACAGACGACAACCGUAGGCAGCAGGGGAGAGUAGUACACAACGGGCUGAAGCCUGAUACGGCGACGCCGCGUGCGGGAAGACAUGCUUCUGGUUGGAAACCACUAUCCCCUGAUACGAAGCGAUAGUGACGGUAAUGGGUAAAGAAGCACCGGCUAACUACGUG